GUGCGCUGCUUUCUUGGACGUUUCCUCCCUAAACUUGGCGGCUCCUUCGGGAUGCCGCCAUUUUUUUCGCCAUC
rnacentral:sRNA from 1 species